rnacentral:rRNA from 1 species
AAUCAACGCUGGCGGCGUGCCUCAGACAUGCAAGUCGAACGCCCUAGCAAUAGGGAGUGGCAGACGGGUGAGUAACGCGUGGGAACCUUCCCAGUGGUGCGGAAUAACUCACCGAAAGGUGAGCUAAUACCGCAUAAGCCCCUCGGGGGAAAGAUUUAUCGCCAUUGGAUGGGCCCGCGUCGGAUUAGCUAGUUGGUGAGGUAACGGCUCACCAAGGCUACGAUCCGUAGCUGGUCUGAGAGGAUGAUCAGCCACACUGGGACUGAGACACGGCCCAGACUCCUACGGGAGGCAGCAGUGGGGAAUAUUGGACAAUGGGCGCAAGCCUGAUCCAGCCAUGCCGCGUGAGUGACGAAGGCCUUAGGGUUGUAAAGCUCUUUUGCCGGGGACGAUAAUGACGGUACCCGGAGAAUAAGUCCCGGCUAACUUCGUGCCAGCAGCCGCGGUAAGUGACGUCAGA